UUGCCAAUGACUGUGUUAUUCCAGAAAAAUCUAAAAACCAAUAUAAUGCCGUCUAUGUAAAAUUUAUCGAGUGGAAAACCUUACAUAACGCAAAGUCUUUUUCAGAGACUGUUUUGAUGGCCUAUUUUCAAGAGCUGUCUGAAACCUAUCGGCCAUCAACAUUAUGGUCAAAAUAUUCUAUGUUGAAAGCUGUUAUAAAGUUAAAACAUGACAUAGAUAUAAAAACUUACACCAGAUUGACUGCUUUCUUAAAAAGGCAAAGUGCAGGAUUUCAGAGUAAAAAAUCGAAGGUACUAACAGCUGAACAAAUUGAGACGUUUAUUAAUGAAGCUCCAGAUCAGCAACAUCUAGCUACAAAGGUUGCUCUUAUAUUUGGAGUCUGUGGCGCAUGCAGACGCGAAGAGCUCACAAAUGUAUCAGUAAAAGAUAUAGAAACACAUGGGGACAUACUUCUUGUCAAAAUACCAAAUACAAAAAAUAAAAUUCCCAGGUCCUUCACUAUUGACGGCCCAUUUGCAGAAAUAGU